rnacentral:rRNA from 5 species
GGGUUGUGAGGUUAAGCGACUAAGCGUACACGGUGGAUGCCCUGGCAGUCAGAGGCGAUGAAGGGCGUACUAAUCUGCGAUAAGCGCCGGUAAGGUGAUAUGAACCGUUAUAACCGGCGAUACCCGAAUGGGGAAACCCAGUGUGAUUCGUCACACUAUCAUUAACUGAAUCCAUAGGUUAAUGAGGCGAACCGGGGGAACUGAAACAUCUAAGUACCCCGAGGAAAAGAAAUCAACCGAGAUUCCCCCAGUAGCGGCGAGCGAACGGGGAGGAGCCCAGAGCCUGAAUCAGCAUGUGUGUUAGUGGAAGCGUCUGGAAAGGCGCGCGAUACAGGGUGACAGCCCCGUACACAAAAGCGCAUGUGCUGUGAGCUCGAUGAGUAGGGCGGGACACGUGGUAUCCUGUCUGAAUAUGGGGGGACCAUCCUCCAAGGCUAAAUACUCCUGACUGACCGAUAGUGAACCAGUACCGUGAGGGAAAGGCGAAAAGAACCCCGGCGAGGGGAGUGAAAAAGAACCUGAAACCGU